rnacentral:lncRNA from 1 species
CGCAGUAGAGAACUGAGGCUCAGUUGCCCCGAAGAUGUUCUUAGAAAUCUUUUCCUUGGGGCUGGGAAGGCUGGGAGAUUUAUACAAUGACUUCAUGCCUUUGAAGGUUGUCCCGGAUGUUAAUUCCUUUAUAUAUCCUGUUUGAUCCUCUUUGUGGUCAGAAAAUUUACAGAACCAUCAGGCAGAGAAGACAAGAACCAGAAAAAAACAAAGAAAUCGGGCUUCCCUGGUGGCUCAGUGAUGAGGAGUCUGCCUGCCAAUUCAGGAGACAGUUUCGAUCCCUGGUCCGGGAAGAUCCCACAUGCCACGCAGCAGCUAAGCCCGUGGGCCACAACUACUGAGCCUGCGCCCUGGAGCCGGGGAACCGCAACUGCUGAAGCCCUUGCACUCUAACACCUGUGCGCCGCAAAAAUAGAAGCCACUGCCAUACGCAAUCUGUGAGCCGCAACUAGGGAAAAGCCUGCACAACAACGAAGCCUGGCACUGCCAAAAAUAAAUGAACAAAAUAAUUUUUUAAGCA